rnacentral:pre_miRNA from 9 species
UCUCGAUAGCGUAAAAGUUAAAUCGAAUUUGUAUAGAGUUGGAACGUUUGCCUACGUUUGCCGCUAGGGGCGCUGUUCCAACUGCAUACAAAUUUGUGUUAACUUUUACGCUAUCGA